rnacentral:lncRNA from 1 species
UAUACUUAUAAAUGUGCCCAAAAACAUUUAUUUUUUAUUUCACUAUUUCAUAUUCUGCACAAUUUAUGGUGCCCACACUAUUAUUGUUUAUUCCAAUGUAAAAAUAAAAGUGCAAAAAAUUGUGUAAAAGAAUUUUUCCGCUUAAGGGAGUUGGACAUAAUGGAAAAGCAAAAAAAUGUUUUUUUGCGAGCAAAAGUAUUCUGCUCCUUUAAUUCGAAUUUGAGUAAUAUAAAAAAAACAAAAAACAAAAAACAAAAAACAAAAAACAAAAAACCUAGUCCAUAUCAUUUCAUAAUAAUAUAUUCUUUUUUCACACUUUAUGUGUUAACUUAUUAAUGUUGUUUUUUUUUUUCUUUUUUUUUUAGCCAUGCCUCCUAAUUACAAAAACGUAAAAUCCGACUGCAACGAUGAUGUUGAUAGAAUUAUAAAAAAUGCAAAAAAUCCCUGGGAAGUUCUUCAGGUAAACGAAUUUUUGGAAAAAAACUUGGAUGAUAAAGCAGAGUUGAAAAAAAAAGCAAAGAAGAAUUACUAUAUGUUGGCAUUAAAGGUUCAUCCUGACAAAAACAACAACACAAAUGUAAGUAUAUUUGAUAUAUACAUAUAUAAAAUAUACUUUUGUACAAAAGAAAAAAAAAAAAAAAAAUGCAAAUCUUUUUAAAAACUGACAAACCAUUUUUU